ACGUCGAUCAUAUGCGUCCAGGCCCUGUUUCUUUCUUCAUCAUCACAGCAGUCAACAGAGGAGUGUAAGGUCGAAAUCGAGUGAGUAAACAAGCCGAUAUCAUCAUCAUCAUCAACGCAGGAGGACAUCAUCAUCAUUAAGGGUUGUAAUGAUUUCAGUUUCUUUUCAAGUCGAAACAUUAAGGUUGCAAUGCCUGUUGGGAACUAUACUACAUCGAGCAUGAAAUUCAGGAGACGUCGUAAACGAGGAAAGUGGAGAUGGAAGGUCGAUAAGGAUGAUUCACGUAUGAG